rnacentral:misc_RNA from 1 species
UCUCCGUUGGUGAACCAGCGGAGGGAUCAUUACCGAGUUUACAGCUCCCAAACCUCAAUGUGCACGUUACCAAACUGUUGCAUCGGCGGGUUUUCUGCCCCGGGCGCGUCGCAGCCCCGGGCCAUCGCGCCCGCCGGAGGCCCAACACAAAACUAUUAUGUAUACCCCCUCGCGGGUUUUUCAUAUCUGAGCCUUCUCGACCCUCCUACUAGGGGUCUCGUAAAUGUAUCAAAAAUUUCAACAACGGAUCAUCUGGUUAUGGCAUCGCUGAAGAAC